AGUGAACGCUGGCGGUAGGCCUAACACAUGCAAGUCGAACGGCAGCACAGUAAGAGCUUGCUCUUACGGGUGGCGAGUGGCGGACGGGUGAGGAAUACAUCGGAAUCUACUUUUUCGUGGGGGAUAACGUAGGGAAACUUACGCUAAUACCGCAUACGACCUACGGGUGAAAGCAGGGGAUCUUCGGACCUUGCGCGAUUGAAUGAGCCGAUGUCGGAUUAGCUAGUUGGCGGGGUAAAGGCCCACCAAGGCGACGAUCCGUAGCUGGUCUGAGAGGAUGAACCGCCCAACCUGAAAUGAGAAACGGUCCCAGACCCUAAGGGGGGCCAGAGUUGGGAAAUUUUGAACAUGGGGGGAAGGCUGAACCCGGCCAAACGGCGUGGUGAAAAAGGGCUUUGGGUUUUAAAGGCCCUUUGUUGGGGAAGAAAAAGAGGCAGUUAAAUACCCGGCGGUCCGGAGGUAACCAAAGGAAAAAGCACCGCCAAACUUGUG
rnacentral:rRNA from 1 species